AAUCUCACACUAAAUACUAUCUACUGGAUGACCUUCAUAAGUCAUUUUUCAAUGCAUAAAGUCAAUGAAUAAAUGGAAAUGUAAUUGCACUGGAGAAGAACUACUGUAAACAUAAGAACUGCUAUUAAUACAACGCAACAGAGUCGAAUCACGUCGGAUAUUUGGUGUAAUACCCACGUUUCCAUGAGAACACACCCUGAGAAAUGAAACAGUUAGAAUAAGGUGCAGCGGAUUAUUGACGCAAGGGUAUGCAGAUUGUAUCACAAGCAUAAUUUAUAUAUGGAGGAUCAAACAGAUGUGCCGUAACAGUGUGUCAUGAAUCACAGUUACACACGGUGCCAGAGCAUCUAGCAGCUUAAGGCUUUUGUUUUAUUGUGAACCACACCUGACUCUGCACUGAGUAGACCUCUUGAUAAGACCAAUAACCUUUCAUAUGACUAAUCACGCUGCUUUUUUUUUUGUUAUCAGACUCUUAUAGACUCCAUAAGCGGCCUCUCUGCAUCACUUCACUUCACUCUGACACAGAGCAGCGCUCCGACACAUCGACUUCCAAAAACAUUCCACUUCCACGUCCGAGAUAAGCAAUAUCAUUCCCGUUUUUAUCCAGAUGGAGGUCUCCACGAAGCGCUGGUUUGCAUGGACGGCUCUCUGCAUCGCUGUGUUAGUGAUGUCAGCCUCUGCUGAAAGUGCAAAUCUGGAGACAUCACAGAAGCUGGCCGCUGAUUAUGAGUUCGAUUAUUACUUCACCAUUGAGAUCAUGAACCGCAUCUACAACGAUUCCCUCACCGACCCCGAUUCUCCUUAUUAUAAGAUGAUGUACAGUGAAGUUAGCGGCGCAUUCUACUCUGUCUUUGGCUGCUCCAGCUGUCCCAAUAGUGCAGCUUAUCAUGGUGUGACAUCCAUGAGUUUCAGAAAGGGAUCAGUGAUUGCAGACACCACCAUUGCGUUCAAAGGUACUCUGACCAAUCCCAUUUUGCUCAAAUUCAUUUUUCUGGAUGGCCUCAACAGCAAUAAUGAAAUUAAUGGCCUUCAAAUCAACCCUGAUACCGUACAGGACUCUUAUGUAACAACCACAACACCAACAACCAAGACAACACUGACAACAACAACUACUACCACAUCUCCCACCACAACAAUAACCACCACAACACUGACAACAACCACUACCACUACAACAACCACAAGACCAACAACAACCACCACAAUACCAACAACCACCACAACACCAACAACAACAAUCACUACCACAACCACCACAACACCAACAACCACCACAACACCAACAACAACAGUCACUACCACAACCACAAGACCAACAACCACCACAACACUGACAACAACAACCAUUACCACAACCACAAGACCAACAACCACCACAACACCACCGACAACAACCACAACACCAGCCACACCAACAAAAACCACCACCACAACUACCACACCAAACACAACCACCACAAAACAGAAAACAACCACAGCAACUAGCAAAGAAACCUCCAGGCCUCCAAUUCCCCACCCAACAAUGCAUCCAGAACACAUUUCCUCCAGCACCAGCAAUAAGUCCUCUUCCAACACAACAAGCAGUCAUUCAGUAAGCAGCCCUGAGACCCACACUGGAGUUACAAACCCUUCCUCCACCAACAACAAAGAUAGCAGAACAGAACAUGUUCUCACGAACAGCAGCCCAUCAUCUAACCAGGGUGAAGGAGUCCCUGGCUGGGCGAUCGCUUUACUCGUGCUGGCUGCCAUCGCCAUCCUGCUCCUCAUCAUCAUAAUCAUCAUCCUGCUGCUAAGAUGGUGCUGUGUGGAUAAUGGCGACGACGUUCGUUCUCUGCCACCACAAGAACACACUCCCUACAUGAGAACCACCUUCAGAGAGCCGCUGUCUGUUCCAGCUUACAGCCCUCACACAGCGCAAAAGAACCUUUAUCCUUUCGACGAUCUACCUCAAAGCCCAAAACCUAAACCCAACCGGACAGGGACGUACGAGGUGAACCCAGAGAAAUAAUGAAGUUAAGCGGCAAAGCUGUAACUGAGAUUUUAAAGAGUUGCUGUGGACUGAAAAACGGUGUGGACGCCACCUGCUCAUGACGUCCGCUUCUCGACAAAAAUCAUCAUCUCAGGAAUAUGUAUAAGUAUUAUAGCCAAGUCAUAUAAAAAUUGGUGUCAUACUAUUUAUUAUCCAUUUAUUUAAAGUGAUUCUGAGGCAAGCGCUUUGAAUCUUAUCUGAGGGAAAGAUCUACAGUCACAAUUAAGCAAAAAACAACGGUAAAUGGCAGGAUUCUGGAUUUAUAUAUAUAUAUAUAUAUAUAUAUAUAUAUAUAUAUAUAUAUAUAUAUAUAUAUAUAUAUAUAUAUAUAUCCAGAAUCCUGCCAUCUCUAUUGUUUUAUCUGAUCUCAUGACUUUGUAAAACUUAUAAUUGUAAAGAAUUAUUGUAAAAAUAUAAAUAUGUUUUGUAUUGUUGUAUUAACCAUGUAAAGGCUUGGGGAAAUAAAUAAAAC
ensembl:lncRNA